rnacentral:rRNA from 1 species
CCUACGAGUGGCUGCAGUGGGGAAUAUUGGGCAAUGGAGGCAACUCUGACCCCGCAAUGCCGCGUGAGUGAUGAAGGUAAUUUUAUUGUAAAGCUCUUUUCUUUGGAACGAAUAAAUGACGGUACUAACGGAAUACGCCCCGGCUAACUACGUGCCAGCAGCCGCGGUAAUACGUUGGGGGCAAGCGUUGUUCGGAAUGACUGGGCGUAAAGGGUGUGUAGGUGGUUUCAUAAGUUAUAUGGGUAAUCCCCAGGGCUUAACUCGGGGGCUGUAUCUAAAACUGUUAGACUGGAGUACUGGAGAGGAUAGUGGAAUUCCUAGUGUAGCGGUGGAAUGCGUAGAUAUUAGGAGGAACAUCAGUGGCGAAGGCGACUAUCUGGACAGCAACUGACACUGAGGCACGAAAGCGUGGGGAGCAAACAGGAUUAGAUACCCCAGUAGUC